CGAUCGAUGAUGACACCCACAAACGCAUUCCUUGGAAAAUCUGAACAAAAUGAGUGAGAACUCACUACCGUCUCCUCAUCGCAAACUGAGGUCC
rnacentral:snoRNA from 1 species